ensembl:lncRNA
GAGACCAGCUGGGAGGCUGUUGCAGUAGUCAGGUGAGAGACGAUGGCAGCCAGGAUCAGGGUGGUAGUGAUUGAGGUGGGAAGAUCUGGUCUGAUUCUGACGCUAUUUUGAAGAAAAGUCUGAUAUGUUUUGCAGAUUUCUUGAGUAUGGGAUGUGGGAGAAGAAGGAGGAGUCAAGGUUGACUUCAAGGUUUUUGACUUCAGCAGUUGGAACGAUGGAGCUGCCAUCAACAGAGAUGGGCAAGAUUGGAGGAGAACCAGAAACAAAUCUAUCACUAUCCGGAGAACCCUAUCUAAGAGGGAACUGCUCUGAAGAUAUUCAAUCCCCAAGGGUUUUGAAAGCAGAUGCCAGCUAUUCCAAAUGAGUCCUUGAAAGAGCUAAAUCACUUUCUGAUUUGAAGCAGCAAGUAAAAAAGUCUACACAUCUUUAAUGGUAGGAAGUAUAACCAAGUGCUCAAAUGAUUAAAAUAUUGUGAUCAGGAGGCUGAGGUACUGGGCUCACACUCUGUCUGGCUCGUUUGCUUCUCGACUCCCCAAUUCCAGAUGGUAGAGACUGUGCUCCUGCCCACAGAUUAGUCCUCCAGACCUAGUCAGUGAUUUUGCAAGAACAUGCCGCAGGUCAUGUGAAAUGCUGGGCAAGAGGCAGCGUGGUGUAGGGGUUAGCUGCUCCGGCUCUGCAUUUAGAUAGAUCUGGCUUGGAAACUUACCCUUCCUCCUCUUAUUACCAGUGGGUCUAUAAGCAAAUUACUUAUUCUCUCUCUCUAAGCCUCCAUUUCCCGCCCCAGGGUCGAGAUAAUUUAGCACAUAACUACUCAAUAAAUGAUAGCUGUUAUUAUUUUUAUUGUCGUUAAUAACAUUAUUCUCAGGUGUAGAUUGAGAUCUAAGUGUAAAUUUGGAAGUUGAUUACUACUGCUAUGCUUCCACUCAAGAAUUCUCAGAAGAGAUACAAAUUCACCUGGCCCU